AUUGAACGCUGGCGGAAUGCUUUACACAUGCAAGUCGAGCGGCAGCACGGGGGCAGCCCUGGUGGCGAGUGGCGAACGGGUGAGUAAUACAUCGGAACGUGCCCGGUCGUGGGGGAUAACGUAGCUACAGUUACGCUAAUACCGCAUACGAUCUGAGGAUGAAAGCGGGGGACCUUCGGGCCUCGCGCGAUCGGCGCGGCCGAUGUCAUAUUAGGUAGUUGGUGGGGUAAAGGCCUACCAAGCCGACGAUCUGUAGCUGGUCUGAGAGGACGACCAGCCACACUGGGACUGAGACACGGCCCAGACUCCUACGGGAGGCAGCAGUGGGGAAUUUUGGACAAUGGGCGAAAGCCUGAUCCAGCCAUUCCGCGUGCAGGACGAAGGCCUUCGGGUUGUAAAAUGCUUUUGUACGGAACGAAAAGGCUCUGGCUAAUACCUGGGGCUCAUGACGGUACCGUAAGAAUAAGCACCGGCUAACUACGUG
rnacentral:rRNA from 1 species